UGCAGGUCUGACAGGCAGCACCGAGUGCGCUCCCACCUUAGCUGCCGAGGAACCUGGGCUGCUGCAUGCCUCAGGGGUGGUCUUUGUGGCUUGGGGUCUUUGUACAUCAAAGUAUAGUAAAAGUGCUUAGUUUGGUUAACGUCCCCUUCCUAGUGCUCGCAGCCAGGUGAUGGCUGUACUGAACUUCAAGACACGGGCAUCAGAGCUCUAGGCUGUAGCUCUCUCAGAACUGCUGUUUCCCUAUUGACUGGCGGGCAGUGGCAGGCAUUGGCUGCUGUCCCUCUGAUAGCAGUGUCUACUGUUGGCUGCUGUUGCUGUUGCUGAGGUUUCUAAGCAUUAGAGCUGGGCCCUCAAGCUACCCACCCCUGAGACAGUACGCAGGUACCCCUGAGACAGAACACAGGUACCCCUGAGACAGAACACAGGUACCCCUGAGACAGAACACAGGUACCCCUGAGACAGAACACAGGUACCCCUGAGACAGAACACAGGUACCCCUGAGACAGAACACAGGUACCCCUGAGACAGAACACAGGUACCCCUGAGACAGAACACAGGUACCCCUGAGACAGAACACAGGUACACAUAGAGACAGAACACAGGUACCCCUGAGACAGAACACAGGUACACAUAGAGACAGAACACAGGUACCCCUGAGACAGAACACAGGUACCCCUGAGACAGAACACAGGUACCCCUGAGACAGAACACAGGUACCCCUGAGACAGCACACAGGUACCCCUGAGACAGAACACAGGUACCCCUGAGACAGUGCACAGGUGAAGGCCCUGGAGUACCUGUGCCAGACACUCCGGGUGUGUCCUGUACAGGGCCCUCUGUGGGGGGGGUUCAGUCCGUGGGGAUGAAGAGCUUCCUUCUUCUGAAAUUGAAAGCAGAGGCCUUUCUCUGCAGCCUGGAGCCUGGAGGUACAGCAUUGCCAUGUCUCUUUAGCAGCCAGAGAGAAUUUUCUGGAGCCCUACCAGGACUCAGGCCUGGAAGCACACGGCAAACGUGGCUUACAUCUCG